UACGUAGGGGGCAAGCGUUGUCCGGAUUUAUUGGGCGUAAAGCGCACGCAGGCGGUCUUGUAAGUUUCGAGUGACAGGUGGUGGCUUAACUGCCACAGGCCUUGGAAAACUGCAAGACUUGAGGACUGGAGAGGGACACGGAAUUCCGGGUGGAGUGGUGAAAUGCGCAGAUAUCAGGAGGAACACCAAUGGCGAAGGCAGCUCGCUGGGACGGUACUGACGCUGAGGCGCGAAAGCUAGGGGAGCAAACGGG
rnacentral:rRNA from 1 species